CAGGGUCAGACACGAUUGGUGGGACUUAGCAGCAGUAGCAGCAUGUGCAAACCAUGGGGAAAAGAGACUAUACCAGAAGCAUUGCAUUUGGUUCCAGUAGGAGAGAAGAAAGAUAAUGGACAGAAGUGAUUUUGAGGAGAUAGUGACUGAGAACUUUCCAAAACCGAUGAAUGACUCUAUUUCCAGACUCAAGGAAUGCAGCAAACCCCAAGCAGGACAAAUACAAAGAAAACCACGUCUUGGUUUUUCUUUAAAUUACUAAGUUUCUGAAAAAUCAAAGUUCAAUUACUAAAAAUACAAGUUAAACAUAAAAAUCAUAAAAAUAGAUAGGGAAAAAAAAGAUGUUACUUUUAAAAGAGUACCAUAUUGAGAGAGUUAAUUCUUAGGUAGGUUGAUAAGGAGUCUGAAUCCCUCAAGGAAGAGAAAAGGACAAGCGUUUUUUUUUAUUUGUUUUCCGUUGGUUUGUCUUAGUCACAUAAGACUUUUUUUCCUUUAAGCCCAGAGCUAAAGAUUACACAACAAAACAACUCAUCUUGUUCAAGGGUAUGUUUUUCCUUAUAAGCUCUGUACUAAAGAUUAUAUGACAACCAUGUGUCUCGCUGGAGGACAUGUUUCUCCUUCUGAACAAGAACCUUCUGACUAAUCUUGCCAUAUUAAGCUGUAUAUUGUGGAAGAUCUGGUGAGAUCUUUCUAUUGUUAGUUCUAACCUUGUUAAUUUAAGAUGUAUGUUAUGGGAGUGGGUCUGGUAAAAGUAUAUAAAAGGCCUUGAUGAGACUAUCAAGGGGGGCACUCUCCGUCCCCGUCCUGAUGUCUGUGUCAGAAGCUUUCUCUGCCCUUUUUCACUGUAAUAAAACGUCUGCCACACAAAAGCUCUGAGUGAUCAGGCCUGGUCCUUGGUCCCAAAGCUAAGUCUUCUUCAGAGAUCAUGAUUGCGAUACCAUUGUUAGCUAUCAAAGUGAAUGAUGCUGGUUUUCCAACAGAAACCAUGGAAGACAUGUAAUAGCAUGUUUAAAAUGCUGAAAAAUAUAAGAGACACCUACCAUCCAAGAAUUAUAUGAUCAGUGAAAACAUCCUUAAUAUGAAAGCAAAAUAAAGACAUUUUCAGACAAAACAAAAGCUGUACAUUUCCAGCUAAGAGGAGUUUUUUGGAUGAAGGAAAAUGUCUGCACAUAGAAACAGACCCAAAGGGCUGAAUCAAAUGGGAACUGCAUAUGUUUGUAGAUUAUUUUAGCUUGACUCUAACUGGAAUGAAAUAUCUUGUCUGGCACUAUAUAAUCAGUCAAUCCAGGAUGACAAGUCUACAGAAUGGGACAUUAAAAUAGCCCAGAAUGAAAGGUUCCAUACAUAAAAGAUGUGCUGCACGCUAAGUCGCUUCAGCCGUGUCCGACUCUUUGCGACCCUCUGGACUGCAGCCUGCCAGGGUCCUCUGUGCAUGUGGUUCUCCAGGCAACAACACUAGAGUGGACUGCCAUAUCUUUCUCCAGGGAAUCUCCCUGACCCGAGGAUCGAAUCCACAUCUCUUAAGUCUCCUGCAUUGGCAGACGUGUUCCUUACCACUAGCGCCAUCCCAAAAGUGUUAGUUGCUCAGUCUG
ensembl:lncRNA